AUCACGUAAACAUGGAUGCUAACACUACUAAUAUGAGCACCGAAAGCUAUAUUGACUGUGGUAAUACAAGUGAUUUCAUGUUAGACAAUGAUACGUGUUCAACUAACAGCUAUACGGAUUAUAACACAAAUUUAAGUUCAUUAUAUGGUUCUCUAAAAUGGAUAGCAUUGUGUCUGCUAAUUGGUAUCUUGUCAAUGAACAUUAUAGUCAUCAUUCUAUUAUUCGCCAGCAAACGGAAGUCAAGAAUGGGAUUUUUCGUCAAGAACUUAGCAUUUUCAGAUCUUGCCGUAGGAGUAUUCUUUCUAUUACCAGAAACGACAUUCAACUGGUUUGAUCACGAAUGGACGAAGUAUAUUUGUUAUAUGUACUACGGGUAUUUUUCGAUGGUUGCUUACUAUGCGUCCACUUUUUCUAUUGUGGUUCUAUCAGUGGAUCGUCUUUAUGUUAUUAUGAGACCAGUCUCGACAGUAUCUAACGGAAGAGUCUACCGAUAUGGACUAGCACUAUCAGCAUGGAUCAUUGCAUUGGUUCUAGGAAUUCAGUAUGCUGUCUCUAUAAAAUUUUACGAAGACGACGGUGCCUGUU